GAAAAACCAUAUAAUGAGUCAUACCAUGAUUUGGAUGCUUUUAAUGAACAUGAAUUUGAUACAUAUCAGGAUUUUGAUAGGUUUCGUGAUGAUUAUCGUAGUCUCAGUAAUGUCCGUGAUCAUGGAAUUGACAGGCUAGAUCGGUUUGGAAGUCGUGAGCGUGAUGAUUAUGCGUAUGAUGAUUAUGACUACAAGUCUAACGUGGCUCAUCAAAAGAGAGAUGAUAGUUAUGA
rnacentral:misc_RNA from 1 species